rnacentral:lncRNA from 1 species
UAAAAUUAGUAUAAAAAGUUGCAUGGUGGGGGAAAUGUAUUAUUGAAUCAAUUUUUCUAUACCGAUUGCACUUAUAAUCGAUAUAGAAAGUCGAUUUUCUACACUGGUUGAUCACUAUAAUGAUAUAAAAUGCUUACUACAUCUCUUUCUUCCUUUUGCACUUCACUUUCGCAAAUCCACUGAGCUUUUCUCUCUCUUUCUCUUUUUGUUUCCAUUGCUCUCAUUCUGGCAUUCUCUCUGCACUUCCAUUCGUGGUCGUUCUCUCUACAACGUUCUCCAC